UACAGAGGGGGCAAGCGUUGUUCGGAAUUACUGGGCGUAAAGGGCGCGUAGGCGGCCGCCUAAGUCAGACGUGAAAUCCCUCGGCUCAACCGGGGAACUGCGUCUGAUACUGGGUGGCUUGAAUUCGGGAGAGGGAUGCGGAAUUCCAGGUGUAGCGGUGAAAUGCGUAGAUAUCUGGAGGAACACCGGUGGCGAAGGCGGCUUCCCGGACCGACACUGACGCUGAGGCGCGAAAGCUAGGGGAGCAAACGGG
rnacentral:rRNA from 1 species